GACGGAGGUGCUGGAGGUUGGCGAGGUUUGAGGGUGGGCAGAUCUGUGCGCGUGGGGGGCAGGGGCGUGUCCCUGGCGUGGCGAGUGGGGAAAGAACUGGAUUCCUUUCUUCGUACAGGGUGGCGAAGGUGCUUGGGGUUGUCGAGGUUGAGGACGGGAGGAUCUGUGCGCGUGUGGGGGGGUGUCCUCGGCAUGACGAGCGGGGGAAAAGGUCUG
rnacentral:lncRNA from 1 species